UACAGAGGUCUCAAGCGUUUGUUCGGAUUCAUUGGGCGUAAAGGGUGCGUAGGUGGCGCGCUAAGUCGGGUGUGAAAUUCCGGAGCUUAACUCCGAAACUGCAUUCGAUACUGGCGUGCUUGAGGACUGGAGAGGAGACUGGAAUUCAUGGUGUAGCAGUGAAAUGCGUAGAGAUCAUGAGGAAGACCAGUGGCGAAGGCGGGUCUCUGGACAGUUCCUGACACUGAGGCACGAAGGCCAGGGGAGCAAACGGG
rnacentral:rRNA from 1 species